ACGAACGCUGGCGGCGCGCCUAACACAUGCAAGUCGAACGAGCGAGAGGAGGUUUACUUUCUCAAGCGAGUGGCGAACGGGUGAGUAACGCGUGAGGAACCUGCCUCAAAGAGGGGGACAACAGUUGGAAACGACUGCUAAUACCGCAUAAGCCCACGACCCGGCAUCGGGUAGAGGGAAAAGGAGCAAUCCGCUUUGAGAUGGCCUCGCGUCCGAUUAGCUAGUUGGUGAGGUAAUGGCCCACCAAGGCGACGAUCGGUAGCCGGACUGAGAGGUUGAACGGCCACAUUGGGACUGAGACACGGCCCAGACUCCUACGGGAGGCAGCAGUGGGGAAUAUUGCACAAUGGGGGAAACCCUGAUGCAGCGACGCCGCGUGGAGGAAGAAGGUCUUCGGAUUGUAAACUCCUGUUGUUGAGGAAGAUAAUGACGGUACUCAACAAGGAAGUGACGGCUAACUACGUG
rnacentral:rRNA from 1 species